CGCGCGCGCCGUAAUGGCUUCGCUUCCUCCAGCAGUUUAAGCUGGUUGUAACCCCCCCCAACUGUGGGGUGCAAGGGGAAACGUUUUUAAGAAUUUUUCUGACAGAAUCUUAUCAUCGCAGAGACUUCUGUUCCUCUGUCAUAUUUAUUCACAAUUUGCGGAUUGAUUCCAAACAUGUAUGAGAGAGAAGAGAAGAAACCAACAGAGACCUGGAGAAGUUACCAGGGAAGAACCAUUUUUUAGCCUUACAAUUAAAUCGAGCACAAAGUCAGGAUCUUCUAUAAAUCAGGUACUUUUUUCAUGUUUAAGAAGGCUGUACAUGAUUGGAGGAGCCUGUCUUUCAGCAAAGUUAGAA